UACGUAGGGGGCGAGCGUUGUUCGGAAUUACUGGGCGUAAAGCGCACGUAGGCGGCUUUGCAAGUCAGGGGUGAAAGCCCGGAGCUCAACUCCGGAAUUGCCCUUGAGACUGUCUCGCUUGAACACGGGAGAGGUGAGUGGAAUUCCGAGUGUAGAGGUGAAAUUCGUAGAUAUUCGGAAGAACACCAGUGGCGAAGGCGGCUCACUGGACCGUUGUUGACGCUGAGGUGCGAAAGCGUGGGGAGCAAACAGG
rnacentral:rRNA from 1 species